rnacentral:rRNA from 1 species
AUUGAACGCUGGCGGCAGGCCUAACACAUGCAAGUCGAACGAGUGGCGGACGGGUGAGUAAUGUCUGGGAAACUGCCUGAUGGAGGGGGAUAACUACUGGAAACGGUAGCUAAUACCGCAUACCAUCAGAUGUGCCCAGAUGGGAUUGGCUUGUGGGUGGGGUAACGGCUCACCAAGGCGACGAUCCCUAGCUGGUCUGAGAGGAUGACCGGCCAAACUGGAACGGAGACACGGUCCAGACUCCGACGGGAGGCAGCAGUGGGGAAUAUUGCACAAUGGGCGCAAGCCGGAUACAGACAGGCGGGGGGGAUGAAGAGGGCCUUGGGUUGGAAAAGUACGUUCAGCGGGGAGGCGUUACCCGCAGAAGAAGCACCGGCUAACUCCGUGCCAGCAGCCGCGGUAAUUC